AUGACAGUGGGUGAGGCCCUGGUACACUUCAGAGUCACUCCCCUGCUGCUCUGGUUUGGGGUGUGUCUGUUCAUUUCUGGUCACUGUCAGGCCAGGCCCUCCCAGCACUUCUCUUCCCCAGAGUUGGUGAUCCCCUUGAAGGUGACUGGCUGGGGCAGAAAUGCAAAGGUUCCAGGCUGGCUCUCCUAUAGCCUGCGAUUUGGGGGCCAAAGACACAUCACCCACAUGAAGGUCAAGAAGCUCUUGAUUUCCAGACCCCUCCCAGUGUUCACCUACACAGACCAGCGUUCCCUGCACCAGGACCAGCCUUAUCUUCCUGAUGACUGCUACUAUCAUGGUUAUGUGGAGGGUGUUCCCAAGUCCCUGGUUGCCCUCAGUACCUGUUCUGGAGGUUUUCGAGGAGUACUACAGAUAAAUGAUCUUGCUUAUGAAAUUGAACCAGUUAGGUCUUCUGCCACAUUUGAACACUGGGUGUAUAGAAUAGACAGCGAUGAUACUCAGUUCCCACGUAAGAGAUGUGGGUUAACAGAAGAGGAAAUAGCACGCCAAUUGGAGUUGCACAAUUUCACUCUGAAGCAAAGUUCUUACACAGGCUGGUGGACCCACUUGCUGUUUCUUGAGCUGGUAGUGGUUGUGGACAAUCUUCGAUUCGUUCACUCGGGAAGCAAUGUGUCAGUAGUACAAAUUGAGAUAGCUACUGUUGUCAAUGUAAUAAAUAGCCUGUAUCACCCUUUGGAAGUUGAUGUAACUUUAACUGGGCUUGAAAUCUGGACUGAAGGAAACCAAAUUGCCACUGAAAACAUGGAUACAAUGUUGGAGGAUUUUGCUGUUUGGAAGUUUUUUAACCUUGAUAACCGACUGCCGCAUGAUGCAGCCCAUCUUUUUAUAAAGAAAUCCUUUGGCAUUCAGCUUGGAUUGGCCUAUGUUGAUGGAGUAUGCCAGAAUCCUCUUAAUUGUGCAAUUAUUGUUUUCGAAGAUGAUAGUUUAUUUGAUACUGGGCUUAUUGUUACCCAUGAACUUGGUCAUAAUUUAGGUAUGCUGCAUGAUACUGAAUUUUGUGUGUGUGAAUUUGAGUUUUGCAUAAUGUAUCCUGCCAAAGCAGUAACGAGUAAAUUCAGCAACUGCAGUUAUGGUGAAUUUUGGAACAAUGUGAUGAGGAAAGGAUUUUGUCUCAUCUCUCCUCCAAAUCCAGCGAAUAUCUUUAGGAUAGAGUAUUGUGGGAACCUAGUGGUCGAAGAAGGAGAGGAGUGUGACUGUGGAACCGUACAGCAAUGUAAACGUGAUCACUGCUGUCUGCCGGAUUGCACUCUGAAACCUGGAGCUGCUUGUGCUUUUGGGUCUUGCUGCAAAAACUGCAAGGUCAGGUCAACAGGGACUUUGUGCAGAAAACAGAUCAAUGCAUGUGACCUUCCAGAGUGGUGCAAUGGGGCAUCGCAUCAGUGCCCAGAAGAUGUAUAUGUGCAGGAUGGGAUUCCCUGUAGUGACAGUGCCUACUGCUAUAAAAAGAACUGUGUUAACCAUGAUGAACAGUGCAGGGAGAUUUUUGGCAAAGAUGCAAGGAGUGCAUCUCGGAGUUGCUACAAAGAAAUCAACACCCAAGGAAAUCGAUUUGGUCACUGUGGUAUCAGAGACAUAGAGUACAUAAAAUGUGAAGUCCCUGAUAUCCUGUGUGGGAGAGUUCAGUGUGAAAAUGUGGAAGUAAUUCCAAAUCUGAUGGAACAUUCCACAGUGCAUCAGUUUCAAGUCAAUGACACCACUUGCUGGGGCACCGACUAUCACAUAGGAAUGUCCAUACCUGAUGUCGGCCAGGUGAAAGAUGGUACGAUGUGUGGUCAAAAAAAGAUCUGUGUUCACAGCAGGUGUGUCAGUAUGGUUCCUGAGCCACAAGCCUGUCAGCCCAAGACCUGCCACAUGAAGGGGGUUUGCAAUAGUAAGCAAGAGUGCCACUGCAACCCUGGAUGGGCACCUCCCUACUGCAAGGAUAAAGGCAGUGGAGGUAGUAAUAGUAGUGGCCCACCUGGUAAUCCCCAAGGAGAUGAGGAAGAAGAGGCAGACGAGGACGACGAGGCAGAACAGUCAGAGGAGACAAAAAUGGUAAAGAACAGUCACAUGUUACUGUGGCUUAUUCCUUUGAUUUGUUUAUUUGUAUGUUGCUUCCUUGUGUUUUGUAAGAAGCAUAAAAAGGAAAAGCCAGAAAUGAAGACGGAAGAGGAAACGGAAGAAGAGGAAACGGAAGAAGAGGAUAUGGAAGAAGAAAGUGACUAA
rnacentral:lncRNA from 1 species